rnacentral:tRNA from 1 species
GUGUACUUAGGAUCAAUGGUUAGAGCAUCACUCAUGAAUGCUGAGUAUGUGAGUUUGACUCUCACAGUACACA